rnacentral:rRNA from 1 species
GACGAACGCUGGCGGCGUGCCUAAUACAUGCAAGUCGAACGCUGAAGGAGGAGCUUGCUUCUCUGGAUGAGUUGCGAACGGGUGAGUAACGCGUAGGUAACCUGCCUGUUAGCGGGGGAUAACUAUUGGAAACGAUAGCUAAUACCGCAUAAGAGUAGAUGUCGCAUGACAUUUGCUUAAAAGGUGCAAUUGCAUCACUACCAGAUGGACCUGCGUUGUAUUAGCUAGUUGGUGAGGUAACGGCUCACCAAGGCAACGAUACAUAGCCGACCUGAGAGGGUGGUCGGCCACACUGGGACUGAGACACGCCCCAGACGGCUACGGGAGGCAGCAGUAGGGAAUCUGCGGGAAUGGGCGGGAGACUGACCGAGCAACGCCGCGGGAGUGAAGAAGGUUUUCGGAUCGGAAAGCUCGGUUGUAAGAGAAGAACGAGUGUGGGAGUGGAAAGAACACACUGUGACGGUAACUGACCAGAAAGGGACGGCUAACUACGUG